rnacentral:snRNA from 1 species
GGCGCAAGUGAAAUACCACUACUUUUAAC